GAGGGUACAGCUCAGUGGUAGAGUGUGUGCUUAGCAUACACAAGGUCCUGGAUUCAAUCCCCAGUACCUCCU
rnacentral:tRNA from 1 species